rnacentral:rRNA from 1 species
AAUGAACGCUGGCGGCAUGCCUAACACAUGCAAGUCGAACGAAGGCUUCGGCCUUAGUGGCGCACGGGUGCGUAACGCGUGGGAAUCUGCCCUCAGGUUCGGAAUAACAGCGAGAAAUUGCUGCUAAUACCGGAUGAUAUCGCGAGAUAAAAGAUGUAUCGCCUGAGGAUGAGCCCGCGUAGGAUUAGCUAGUUGGUGUGGUAAAGGCGCACCAAGGCGACGAUCCUUAGCUGGUCUGAGAGGAUGAUCAGCCACACUGGGACUGAGACACGGCCCAGACUCCUACGGGAGGCAGCAGUGGGGAAUAUUGGACAAUGGGCGAAAGCCUGAUCCAGCAAUGCCGCGUGAGUGAUGAAGGCCUUAGGGUUGUAAAGCUCUUUUACCCGGGAUGAUAAUGACAGUACCGGGAGAAUAAGCUCCGGCUAACUCCGUGCCAGCAGCCGCGGUAA